rnacentral:rRNA from 1 species
CCUACGGUGGGCAGCAGUGAGGAAUAUUGGUCAAUGGACGAGAGUCUGAACCAGCCAAGUAGCGUGAAGGAUGACUGCACUAUGGGUUGUAAACUUCUUUUAUAUGGGAAUCAAAUGUUACACGUGUGGGAUUUUGUAUGUACCAUAUGAAUAAGGAUCGGCUAACUCCGUGCCAGCAGCCGCGGUAAUACGGAGGAUCCGAGCGUUAUCCGGAUUUAUUGGGUUUAAAGGGAGCGUAGGUGGAUUGUUAAGUCAGUUGUGAAAGGUUGCGGCUCAACCGUAAAAUUGCAUUUGAAACUGGCAGUCUGGAGAACAGAAGAGGUGGGCGGAAUUCGUGGUGUAGCGGUGAAAUGCUUAGAGAUCACGAAGAACUCCGAUUGCGAAGGCAGUUCACUGGUCUACAACUGACACUGAGGCUCGAAAGUGUGGGUAUCAAACAGGAUUAGAUACCCUGGUAGUC